GUCUGGUGCCAGCAGCCGCGGUAAUUCCAGCUCCAAUAGCGUAUAUUAAAGUUGUUGCAGUUAAGAAGCUCGUAGUUGAAUUUCUGCCUUAUCAUUAAUUUCGCUUCCGAACGUAAUUUUAUUGAUUUGGCAUCUUCUGGAUUAUAUAUUAUUUUUAAUAUAUUUUUCCAGUAUUUUACUUUGAGAAAACUAGAGUGUUUCAAACAGGCUUUUGCCUUGAAUACUACAGCAUGGAAUAAUGAAGUAGGACUAUUGGUUCUAUUUUGUUGGUUAUCGAACCAUAGUAAUGGUUAAUAGGAGCAGUUGGGGGCAUUCGUAUUUAACUGUCAGAGGUGAAAUUCUUAGAUUUGUUAAAGACGAACUACUGCGAAAGCAUUUGCCAAGGAUGUUUUCAUUAAUCAAGAACGAAAGUUAGGGGAUCGAAGACGAUCAGAUA
rnacentral:rRNA from 1 species